GACAUCCCAGAUGCAACAGACAAUGGUCAGGUACUCUUAAGAAGCUCCAUGGAUAGUAAGGAGUAACAGUAGUGACAUGAAGAAAAAAGUGACAUUGUGCUCAGCUGUCAAGCACAGCUCACUAUAGGAUAUUAACCUGUUCAAGGAAGGAUAUGGACUACUAGACUGAAAUAUUAGUUCAGGACUAUUGAUCAUGGAAAGGUUUCCUGAACCAAACCACAGGCAGAUGCUGAAGUUCCACCAAACUGAUUACAGAAGAAACUUUCAUCAACUACUAGGUCAUUAAUCAGAGAAAGACUUGAAGUCAAGAAACCAGAAGAAGACUAGCAUUUAGAAGGGCAGCUGUGAAAGAACUAGACAAGAUCCUGAAGUGUGCGGAUACAUCAUUUCAUAUUAAACUUGAGAGUCCAUGCCAUCA